rnacentral:lncRNA from 1 species
CCGUCCGCCUAGGGCGUCAGAAACCCUGGCGCUGCUCCUGAUUAAGAAAAUGAUGUAUAAUUAAACUGAGAGUUAUUUUCCCUAUUGUGGUUUUUCCAUAGUGAAAUAAGAUGUUAUGUCUCAUUAGCACAAGGAGCAAGAUACAACAGGAUCUCUCAGACCCUGACAAGCACAACACAGAUGCUGCAUGAUGAACAUGGUGUGAGAACCUAAACAGAACAAUGGGGAUUGACUGCACCCAGAAGCUGGUUUAAAAACAAAUCUGAACACUCAUCCAUGUUACUGCAAUUUCAGAAUGCUCUGAGCUACUUGAAGAGAAUCAAGAGGAAAUAGUUCUCUGCUAAUGAGGCAAAAGAUGAGCACUUUCAUGAGUACCACUUCUAACAGUAGAAUGAUAUUCUCUUCUGAGACUACGUCUCCACGGGGCUGUAAAACUGGCU